UAUUUUUCUUCUUCACGCAAUCACAACUAGGGUUCUCUCCGAGGAUGGCUUCCUUUGUUCCUCAUGUGUUGAGCCUCUCUUCUUCUCCUUCGCUAUUUCUCUUUCUCUAACUCUUUUUCUCUAUCAAUAUCGAUGGGCUUCGACUUCGACUGUGACGGGGUUGGGUUUAUGGGCUUCGACAUCUAUGGUGACAAGCUUGUAGCAAUGGUAUUGAUUUAUGAUUUGAAGACAUAAGUGCUUCUAAAAUCCUUAUUGUUAUAGGUUGUUAUACUAAUGAGCGAAGUGGAGUCCAUAUUCAUAAAUUACUUUUCCAACAAUGAUAGAGAAAGACAAUGAAGUUUUUGAGGUCACAUUUGUACAGAGAUUCUCACAUGGUCACUUUUUUGUUGGUAAAUAAUUUGACUAAUUUCUAGCUUCUCUCUAUAUAUAUCUUCUUUAUUAAUAAAGACAAUAAUUCUAUAUAUUUAUAUAUAUGUAUCUUCCUUAUUAAUAAAGACAACAACAAUGGAAAAUCAAACAUUUUGAGCUUUUAAUCAUUCUA